rnacentral:lncRNA from 1 species
GACUAUUGGGGUGUCACAGGCUCCCCCCGUUAAGGCCCUGACGUCCUCGUCAGUCCAAUCACACACACAGCCCAAGAUCACUAGGCGAUGUGAGACUCGUCUCGCUACCCUGUCAUCCAGACCCUGGCUCAGCCGAGACUCGCCACACAUGUCCAGCUGGUGAACCGGCUCUGAUACCAAAUGUAACGACCCAGCCCACUAGCAAUAAUAACUCGUUGGGCCCAACACCGGUCCAAAAUGCUUAAGCCCAGUUAUUAUUACUAGUGUCUAAGUCUCUUAUAAACCCAAUGACAACCCCUUUUCCACCCGAUGUGGGACUAUGACAACCCCUUUCCCACCCAAUGUGGGACUAUUAGGGUGUCACAGCAAGAACCCGAAUGAUUAGAGACUAAGUAUAUGUACAGUCAAACUACAAUAACCUCAUUGUAAAUAGCCGAGAUACCGUAAGUCAAAAGAUCAGUCACACUACUGCAAUAUUGAGUAAGUCACUGACGAGUGAGUAGAUAUCCAAGUGACUUCUCGCUUUGGUCACGCUCGAUAUUCUUGUUCUCUAACAACCAUCUGUAUAUUCGCUCUAGUGUCCCGACACUGUUGACUCGAGACUCAUCUAUCUAAAAAGGGAAAUGACUUAUACAGGAUCAAUCACCGUCCUCGUGAUAAUUUAUCGAUCGGGAAUAUUUAGAAAUUAACUAUCAAUAACACAUAUCUCAAAUUCUCAACUCUUCAGAAUACGUGUCAUCAUCUUAUUAAUUUCUUGAACGAUUCAUGAACACAUACACAACAUAAAUAAAAAUAAGAAUCCAAAUUUAUUUAUAAUAUUUUAAAUCAAAUAUAAAUUUAUCUCUUAAAAAGAAUAAAUAUAUAGGCCUAGUUGGCUUUUAGGGGAUGCAUCUAACAGUUAAAGCAUUUAUUCUUUGUUAGAGGGGGCUUAGAAAUUCAACCUAAGAUUUAAAAGGUAGGAGUGCAUUUAUUGUUUUGGUUAGGAGUAGAUCGAAAUAUAAAUAUAUAUAUUAUUGCUUUGAUAUUUGACACAGUAAUAUGGAUGAUAUUCAAAUAUAUUAACUCCUCCAAUGAGCAUCAUAUGGAGAAUAUUAAAAUAAAUUAAUUCAUUACAGGGAUAUCAGCUGAAUCAACAUCUCCAAGAUGUAUUAAAAGUAGGAAGCCACUAAAGAAUGAAUGUGUGGAGUGGGCUGGUAUGCUUAUGGAAGCACGGAGUCCUUCAUGCUUCCAAGUUGUUUUCGAUGUUCGGACUUUUGAAUCGACGAUCGGCUCCGUUAAAGUUGAUCUAGAGUAUUUGAAGUACCUAAAAAAUAAAUUUUGUAAUUUUUCGAUAUCAUUUGCCUAGUGAUCGAAGGGGCUCAAAAUCAAUAAUUUUAACGGCCGUGGUGAGCCGGUUGCAAGUUUAACGGUGUAGAAAUAUCGAAAUCGCAUGAAAUUUUGAUAGAAAAUUAUUUAUACCAUAUAAAACAAGGUCAAUAACUUUGAUCUAAAAUUUUAAUGUCAUAUCAUCAUAUUUUGUAAGAUUUUUAUUUUCAACCGUUGAUUUUGAGCCACUUCGAUCACUAGGCAAAUGAUAUCGAAAAAUCGCAAAAUUUAUUUUCUAGAUACUUCAAAUACUCUAGAUCAAGUCUAACGGAGCCGAUCAUCGAUUCGAAAGUCCGAACAUCGAAAACAAAGUGGAAGCACGGAGCCCUCCGUGCUUCCAUAAGCAUCCUAGCCGCACUCUGAAUGUGUGAUCUAACAACAAUUUCUGAUUUCGUAGCAUUUUACAGUGAGUUAUAAUUUAAUUUUAUUGUAAAAUUACUUAGAUAGUUUAAAUCACAAUAGAAUUUUGUGCUUUAUUUCUAGGUUAAAAUACAUAAAACUCUUUUGUCAAAACCCGAUUUUGUACUUUCUCUAUUUGUCAUUUAAAAACCUACACUUCGCCUCUUUGUAAAAUGAAAAAUAUUCACUUCACCCUCUACUGUUAGUAAUCCGUUAGGAUUCCGUUUAUAAAAUAUUAUUAUAUAAUUUUUUAUGCCAAAAAUACCCUCAGUCUUUUUUCCUGUGAACAUGAUGAGGGGCAAAAUGGAGGGACAAAAUAGUCAUUUUAUCAUCACAGUUCACACCGUACCCCCUGUGAACAUUUUUCGUUUUAUAAUGGGACAAAGUAUAGGUUUUUAAAUGACAGGGGAUAAAGUGAAAAAUCCGAUUUUGACAGAAAAAUUUUCUGUAAUUUAGCCUUAUUUCUAUCAAAAAGAUACUUGAAUAUUAAUACACAUCCAAAUUUCAUUAUCUGUCCUAUAUUGAAUUUUGUUUUCCUUUUUUGUUUUGUGGAAAAUGUUUAUAGAAAAUAUUUGGUUAUGCGAAUCCAAAUUCAUUCGACGACAAUAUUAGUACAUGCUAGUACCUACUUCAAAUAGAUUCUGCUUGUAGCACUUAGUACAUGCUAGUACCUACUUCAAAUAGAUUCUGCUUGUAGCACUAUAUAUCCAUAUCUAUCGAAGCAUUUGGUAUAACAGAAUGUCUUUUUGAGCUUCUAUUGUGAUUAGAAUCUGAAAUGAAAUUUUAAACUCCAAAAGCAGUAACUCUAAUCCCCAAUACUUUUAAUUCCACUUGCGAGAAAACUCUUUUUUGGAAAAAAAAAAAAAACUAUAGUAUAGUCCUUCUAAUAGUAUUACCAUUCGAAAAGUUAUUCGUAGCGAAACACUAAACCCUACAGCAUAGGCCAUACAAGCAUUUGGGAUAUUUCUAUUCAUUAGUCCAUAGCUGACUUGGUACACUAAAUUCAUCGAAUACUUCUAAUAACUGCGGCUGAAUGUUUACUCCAUGAACGUUGCUCAUUGUAGUUAUCCAAUACCAAAUUGACUGUCCCUAGCGCAAGUGGCAAAAGGCUCGAUGGUUGGUAUUUGAGAUGAUCUCAAAUUCAAAUCCUAAUUGAUUCAUAUUUUUAGCCAAAUUUAUUUUUAAAUAAAAUAAACGAAACGAAUAGCGUACUACCUAUCUCUAAAACAACGUUAUCCAACACCACCACACCCUCAUCAUGCCCAGGGAUCUAAUGAUAUCUAGCACGCUUAUCCAAGUACAAGAGUUACAGCAUGCCCUGCUCUCAUUUGUGCGCAAGCAAAAGCUGUACCAAUUCUUCUUUCUUUGGGUAAUUAAACUGCAUGAGUAGUCCCUCUACCAUGAUCACUAUGAUGCACCCUGGUCUUUAUCCUUAAUUUUCAGUUGAAUACUUUUGUGUUCUUAAACUUUCGUGUAGAUCAUUUGAUCGUGCUUAAGAAUGUGUUUACUAACAAGUUAUCAUGUAGUUACUUAAUAUGCUAUAGACUUUCAAACUGUUUUUUCAUAAUAAAAUAAAAUCAGCUGACAAGUGAAAUACAUUUUUCGUGAAAUGUGUUAUUAAAAAAAGGGAAAACUUCAAACCCCCCCCCCUGUGGUUUCACACUUUUUCAUUUUAGUACCCCGUGGUUUAAAGUGUUUCAAGUUAGUACCCUGUGGUUUUUCACUUUAUCACUUAUAGUACCAUGUGAUUUAAAGUGUAUUAAGUUAGUACCUUGUGGUUUUGCACUUUAUCACUUUAGUACCAUAUGGUUUUAAUUUUGNUCUUAUCAAUUUCAUUUUUUUUUCCUUAAAUCAGUAAUAAAUUUAAAAUUAAAGGGUACUAAAGUGAAUAUUUGAUAAAUCUAGAUUGGUAUCUGAAGUUUUUUGUAUAUAAUUUAAUAAAAUAUUAACGAAAAAGCUACCAAAAAAUGAUGGGGGAAGGAUUUGUGAUCCACAGUGAUACAUCGCACAGUGGUUUGGGCUGUGUGUUGAUGCAGCAUGGUAGGAUAAUAGCUUAUGUUUCACGGCAAUUGAAAUGAGAAUUUUUAGAAAUAGCAAUUUUGAGCUAAGGACUUUCAGGGUCCGGACCCUGGACCCAAGGUCCGAACCCACUGCGAAUUGCGAAAAAACGGCCUACGGUGUCCGGACCCUACAGCCAAGAUUCGGACCUUGCGCGAAAAAUGCCCAGUUCAAGGGGUUUUUGGCAAUUGUAGCUUCUCUCCUUUUAUAAAGUGAGCUUCCCAACCCUUCUCUCUCAUUUCUCUCAUUCACACACAAGAGAAAAAGAUAGGAGAAACCCUUCUCUUUCUGCUCACUUCCUCUCUCUUGAUCUCUCCCAAACUUAGGGUUUUGGUGGAGAAGAAGCUCGGGAACGCAUGGGGAGCGAUGGAUCGAGCCGUCGAGUGCUUGGUGGUUCAGCAUGCCUUCGACUCAAGAUUCGCGUUUGGUUAAAAGUUUAGGAUUUUGGAUUAAAUCCUUUAAGCAUGAUGUUCUAGAGAUCCCUAGAUUAUUCUAAGCUAGUUAAUCAUGUUUCUCCAUGAAUUUGGGAAGUAUUUGGAGAAAUGGAAAAUCUAGGAUUUGAAAUUAAGGGUUUUCGGGUUUUAGGGUUUUGAACCUAAUUGAUCUCUUAAUUCUCUAAUUGAAAGAUAGAGGAGAGCCCCAGACAACUCUAGGUUGGAAAUCGGUGAGCAUUCUGUGGUCGAUUUCGAGUUCGAGUCGAACCGGACAACGUGUGCCGCGGGAGCCCGAUUGUAAGUGUCUAUAAGCAAUCGGAAGCGUUGUGAGGUGGGUUGUGCUUCACCGAAGUGAUUAGGUCACUUCCAUGCCAAAGAGUGAAGUAUGAUUUUGGUAUUAUUGUUGAUGCAUGUAAUGGUAGUUUAAUUGCAAUUAUGAAUGCAUGAGAUAGAUGCUAAGAUACAUAUUGACUACCAUUGGAUAAAACUAUAGGCAUAUGGACAUAUAGGAUAUGUAUAUAUGUAUGUCAAGAUGUGAAUAUUGAACUUGGGUCGAUAAACUCUAGGAAGAUUAGAGAACUCGACAAGUGUAGCAUAAAAAUUAUGAAUCCAAGGUGUGGAUGUAACGACCCAGCCCACUAGCAACAAUAACUCGUUGGGCCCAACAACCGGCCCAAAAUGCUUAAGCCCAGUUAUUAUUACUAGCGUGUAGGUCUCAUAUAAACUGAUCGGAAUCAGCAUCCCAUCUGAUGUGGGACUAUUGGGGGCGUUACAAACUCCCCCUGUUUAGACCCUGACGUCCUCGUCGGCUCCAAAGCAGAUCACAGACAGACAGACCAGGACCAUUACCAAGCGAUGUGAGAUUCUAGAGGUGGUUCCUAUGGGUUCAAGAGGUGGCUCCCACCAAACCCGUUGGUGUAGCACUUUGUCCCACAUAGCACUUAGUUCUCACACUUCCGGCUGGUAUUCGGCUCUAAUACCAAUUGCAACGACCCAGCCCACUAGCAACAAUAACUCGUUGGGCCCAACAACCGGCCCAAAAUGCUUAAGCCCAGUUAUUAUUACUAGCGUGUAGGUCUCUUAUAAACCCAAUGACAACCCCUUUCCCAUCCGAUGUGGGACUAUUGGAGUGUCACAGACUCCCCCCGUUAAGACCCUGACGUCCUCGUCAGUCCAAUCACACACAGCCCAAGAUCACCAGGCGAUGUGAGACUCGUCUCGCUAGCCCGUCAUCCAGACCCUGGCUCAGCCGAGACUCGCCACACAUGUCCAACCGGUGAAUCGGCUCUGAUACCAAAUAUAGCGACCCAGCCCACUAGCAACAAUAACUCGUUGGGCCCAACAACCGACCCAAAAUGCUUAAGCCGAGUUAUUAUUACUAGUGUCUAAGUCUCUUAUAAACCCAAUGACAAACCCUUUCCCAUCCGAUGUGGGACUAUUGGGGUGUCACAUAGCGCUAUCUUUG